rnacentral:rRNA from 1 species
AGCCUUUAGUCAACCCACUAUUAAAGGUGAUGCCUGCCCAGUGACUCAUUAAACGGCCGCGGGAUCCUCCACCGUGCAAAGGUAGCAUAAUCACUUGUCCUCUAAAUAAGGACUAGUAUGAAUGGCCACAUGAAGAUUUUCCUGUCUCUUGUAGAAAAUCUAUGAAACUGAUCUUUCAGUACAAAAGCUGACAUAAUUACACAAGACGAAAAGACCCUGUGGAACUUUAAACAAUAGCCAAAUAACAUGACUUCACUUGCUUUUAGUUGGGGCAACUAUGGAAAUAAACUAAACUUCCACAACAAUACACAGGUGGACACACCAAUACUCCCCUUCCCCGAUCCAGUAUUUACUGAAAAAAGAACCAAGCUACCCCAGGGAUAACAGCGCUAUCCCCUCUUAGAGCCCCCAUCGAUGAGGGGGUUUACGACCUCGAUGUUGGAUCAGGGCCCCCAAACAGUGCAACAGCUGUUAAAGGUUUGUUUGUUCAACAAUUAAUGCCCU